GCCUGGGUGGCUCAGUCGGUCGAGCAUCUGACUUCAGCUCAGGUCAUGAUCUCACGGUUCAUGGGUUCGAGCCCCGCGUCGGGCU
rnacentral:tRNA from 1 species